UGCAGAGGAAUGAGAGGAGACCUCCAACAGAACCAGAACCUGCCUCUGUUUUCCACCGGCUGCUCUGACCAGCUGAGGGUUUUAAAUAUAAACGAUCCAAACACAGUUCAUGUUUUCUAUAAUGAGUGACAGAAGUCUAGGUUGGUUCUGUGUGAUUUGUUUGCAUAGGAACUUAAAACUAAGAUAUUCUUUCAGGAAGGCACCUGGAUGUGGAGUGAUGGUUCCAAGUUUGUGUUUAAAGUCUGGGGCGAAAACGAGCCAAACAAUAUCCGUGGAAUGGAACACUGCCUGCAGAUCAACCACAAUGAAAGAAAUCAUACAUCUGAUGAAGCCUGUGCCAAGAAGCUUCCCUUCAUCUGUUCCAGACCCCUGUAACCUUCUCAUCCCAAAUAUCUGAAAUGCCCAUAUGGCUUUCCUGCUGGUGAUGUCACUUCCACCUGGAUGUUAAGCCUCGAUGACAUCACUGCUGGAAGAACCUGAUUUCACUUCAUUUAAUCACUUAAAUGUUUUCUUUCUCUGAAAUCUGAUUUAACAGGCUAACCGAGCAGCUAACACAGUAGCUAGCAGAGCGGCUGUGAUGGAAAAAUUACAAUAAGGUCACAUCUGCUUGUUGUUAAUUCUUUAUGCUUGGUAUAAAACUCAUGUGUUAUCUCUGCCUGACAGAGCUUUUCAUCCAGACUUGCUUCAUUACUGAUUGUCCUAUAAGCUCUCUGUAUUGUGCACAAUAUAUGAAUAAACUUGAUUCAGUGAUUUCACCUG